GACGAACGCUGGCGGCGUGCCUAAUACAUGCAAGUCGAGCGAAGUUUUUCUGGUGCUUGCACUAGAAAAACUUAGCGGCGAACGGGUGAGUAACACGUAAAGAACCUGCCUCAUAGACUGGGACAACUAUUGGAAACGAUAGCUAAUACCGGAUAACAGUAUUUCUCGCAUGAGAGAUAUUUAAAAGUUGGUUAUGCUAACACUAUGAGAUGGCUUUGCGGUGCAUUAGCUAGUUGGUGGGGUAAAGGGCCACCAAGGCGACGAUGCAUAGCCGACCUGAGAGGGUGAUCGGCCACACUGGGACUGAGACACGGCCCAGACUCCUACGGGAGGCAGCAGUAGGGAAUCUUCCGCAAUGGGCGAAAGCCUGACGGAGCAACGCCGCGUGAGUGAAGAAGGAUUUCGGUUCGUAAAGCUCUGUUGUUAGGGAAGAAUGGAUAUGUAGUAACUAUACAUGUAAGAGACGGUACCUAACCAGAAAGCCACGGCUAACUACGUG
rnacentral:rRNA from 1 species